ACCCAGGCUGCAGAAUAAUGCCAGGCCUUAGCCCCUGCGGUGUAACACCUUUCACCAAGAAAUUGCUGUCCCGCUCCUGUUCCACAGGGACUGCUCUGGCCUGGACUUUGGGUCCUGUGGCCUAGAAGUAAAGGGACCAGAUUUUAGUCAGGCCUCAGGACAGAAGCCGAGCCAGUCAAAUCAGGAGGAGGUGCGUGAGGCACAGCCAGAUGGGCUGCCGUUGGUUGCAAGCCUGGAAGAGUCAGAAAGAAACCUGAGGCUGUCAAGGAAGCUUGAAGGUGGGUCUUCAACUCUGGGCCCAGAAGGAGCAUCACCUCCACCUGGCCUUGUCUGGUUCAUCUACAGCC
rnacentral:lncRNA from 1 species